rnacentral:rRNA from 1 species
AUGGUAGGAUAGAGGCCUACCAUGGUGGUAACGGGUAACGGGGUGUUAGGGCACGACACCGGAGAGGGAGCCUGAGAAACGGCUACCACAUCCAAGGAAGGCAGCAGGCGCGCAAAUUACCCAAUCCCGACACGGGGAGGUAGUGACAAUAAAUAACAAUACAGGGUUCUUUGAAUCUUGUAAUUGGAAUGAGUACAAUUUAAAUCUCUUAACGAGGAACAAUUGGAGGGCAAGUCUGGUGCCAGCAGCCGCGGUAAUUCCAGCUCCAAUAGCGUAUAUUAAAGUUGUUGCAGUUAAAAAGCUCGUAGUUGAAUUUCGGGAUCAAUACGUCGGUCGUGCUUUCGGGUACGUACUGGCGUCAUUGGUUUCUCCUUUCUGACGAACCAUGAUGUCAUUAAUUUGGUGUCAUGGGGAGUUAGGACUGUUACUUUGAAAAAAUUAGAGUGUUUAAAGCAGGCAUUAGCUUGAAUACAUUAGCAUGGAAUAAUGAAAUAGGACGUUCGAUCCUAUUUUGUUGGUUUCUAGGAUCAACGUAAUGAUUAAUAGGGGUAGUUGGGGGCAUUAGUAUUCAAUUGUCAGAGGUGAAAUUCUUGGAUUUAUUGAAGACUAACUACUGCGAAAGCAUUUGCCAAGGAUGUUUUCAUUAAUCAAGAACGAAAGUUAGGGGAUCGAAGACGAUCAGGUACCGUCGUAGUCUUAACCAUAAACUAUGCCGACUAGGGAUCGGAUGAUGUUAAUUUUUUAAUGACUCAUUCGGCGCCUUACGGGAAACCAAAGUGUUUGGG